rnacentral:ncRNA from 1 species
UAUCUUCAGGGCAGGGAGUAUUUCCCGACCGGCGGUAAAGUCCGCGAGCCGAACGGCAUGAACCGGUGUGAUUCCGGUACCGACAGUAUAGUCUGGAUGGAAGAAGAUG